ensembl:misc_RNA Metazoa_SRP Metazoan signal recognition particle RNA
GCUGGGCGUGGUGGUGCAUGCCUGUAAUCCCAGCUACUUGGGAGGCUGAGGCAGGAGAAUCGCUUGAACCCAGCUGAGAGAGACUGCAGUGAGCAGAGAUCACACCAGUCACUCCAGCCUGGGCAACAGAGUGAGACUCUGCCUCAA